AAAAGAUACAGCCGAACCCUUGGGCGAGGCGGAGAAGGGUCGGGGGAACAGACAGGGUCGGGCGAGACGGAACCGGGGUCGGGCGGAUAGGAGGGGUUGGGCGAAGCGAACAAGGGUCGGCAGCCUACCUUCGUCUUACAGAGGAGGCUUGGGCGGAAGAACUAAGGGCUUGGGACGACGGCGAGAAUGUCCGGCGGCGGCGGUGCUUCUUGUGGAUCACAAGCAAGCUCUUGGGCAGCACUGAAAGCAGUGGCUGGCGGAUCGGGGAAAGCGGUGGUGCU
rnacentral:lncRNA from 1 species